UUUCCGUAGGUGAACCUGCGGAAGGAUCAUUAUUGUAUAGCCUAGGUGCGAGGGCUGUCGCUGACCCGGAAGGUCGUGCACGCCGGAUUGCCCUCACACACAUCCAUCUUACCCCCUAUGUGCACCACCACUGGGGUCCCCCUUUUGCUUGUUCGGAAGGGGUCUUACGUUUGGACCCAAACGUUGUAUGCAGGAUAGAGAAUAUUGUUGAUUGUUGCGAUCACCCAAUCAAUACAACUUUCAACUACGGAUCUCUUGUCUCUCGCAUCGAUGAAAAAA
rnacentral:misc_RNA from 1 species